UUUCGUUUGUGUCUUGCUCUGUUCCAGUUGGAAAAUGGGAGACUUUAAGUGCAACUGGAGAGUGGGACGAGGGGAUGGUGGCUGGUUGAGGUGAGCAAUAGAAAAAGCAGAAUGCAACAUUACCAGAGUAAUUCACUGUACUAUAAUCUUUAAAUUAAUUGAAUUUUUUCUUGGCCCAAGGGCGCACUGCGCAAACCUCAGAGGCGUGGUUAGUGGUCCUGGCCAAGAUAAAUGUGCAUAACCUCUCAAUUGAUCCCUUGACAUCUUUUUUUCUCUUCUUUUAAAGUUUUAUCUUUGAAUUUAAGUCAUUUGGCACCCUCCCCCAAAUUUGAGCAAAGAAUAUCUUUUUCCCUCUCGGCUGAGAGGACUCUGGGGACCCAUCUGGGGGCCACUUUUCAUGAGGAGCAUUGACAAACUUACACGAAAGAGGGACAAAAAGUAAGAUGAUUAAAUGUAAAUGAGGGAAAGUUGAGGAGUUCUGGGUAAGAUGACCCUGGAGAGGCAGAGACCCAUGGGAACACAGUAUGUAUCUCCACAACUGGGAAGGUUGGUCUGUGAAAGAAGGUCAGACCAUUUUUUCAAAGCUUCAGAGAACAGAACUAGGACUACGGAGGAAAAGUUACAAGGAGUUAGCUUUAAAAUCAUUACAUCCAUUUUGUUCAUACUUAAGACUGCACAAAUAAUGGCAUAGGAAUCUGAGUUUUCUGUACCCUGAAAGCAAACCAUCUGAGCAGAAUCAAUGUUGUAGAAUUGAUGAAAGGGUGUAGUAAGGGUUUCUAUAGGAAUUCCUUAAAAUGGCAGAAAUACUUGAUUCUGAAUUUUCCUCAUAAGCACCGUGCAGUAGCUAUGAUUUUGCAAGAAAAGUUCCAGGGGCGCCUGGCUGCCUCAGCUGGUAGAGCAUGCAACUCUUGAUCUCGGGGUGGUGAGCUUAAGCCCCACAUUGGGCAUACAGAUGACUUAAAAAGAAAGAAAAAUUCCUACUGCUGCUUCUUGUGCUGUAACUUUGCAGUGCUCUGCCUCUGCAGCAAGGCUGACCUAAAUGAUGUGGUCCAGCAAAGCACACAAACAAAAUAACACAGCCAUAAUCUUCUAGUCUCGAGGCUUGGUCCGGCUACAGUUCUUCCUUUGCCAUGAAGUUGUUGACCUGAAAAGUAAAACGGCUUAUUAUUUUACCAGCAAAAUGUGUUUAUUCAGGACUAGCAGAGGAAUUGGAAUUUGGGACAAGGAAGCUAUGGCAAAAGCCUUAGGCAAGUCCAAAGAACAUAGGAAAGGACCACUCUUCUAUAGAGGAUAGGGGGGAGUUGGGGGGAGCUGUUAUAAACAACAAGUCCAUUGCAGUAAACUGGGACUUUGAAGUAUAGUGGCUUCUCAUUGGCUGAGUUGUGACAGUUUGUCACUGGCUGGGCUGUUGCUGGGCAAAGGGAAAAUCCUCCUUUCUCCUACUGGGAUAGUGAAGUAGGUUUCUUCCUAUUGGGAAUGCAAUGUAGUCUGGUCCUAUUGGAUCUGCAAAGAGUUGCAAUGAGUGGUGGGGUCUGAGAGCUACCCUUUCUGGCCUCCUGGCUCCAUCUUAAAAGAAAUUUCCUUUAUUGAGUUCUGCAAGGUGUAAUUUCACCCAAAUUCAUGCUCUCACAAAGAUGGAGAAGAAAUUUCUUGUUUACCUUUAUAUUCUCAUACAGUUUUAGGUAACUGUAGAUAAAAGGAAGUUAAGAGUGAAUCUUUAUAUACUCUACCUAACCCUUCCCUUUCCCAUACUACAGUUCUGGUAUAAAAUGUGUUGGUGAAGGACGUAAAAUAAAAGUGACUGUACUAUAUCUCAUCCAAUAACAUAAACAAGAUUAAAAAAAAGAAAUAACAUGGUAAAAAUGCAAACAUAAAAUAAAACAAAGCACACAGAAGGUUUUCUAAACUCAAUCUAGAAAGAAACAUAUUCUAAGGAACAGAAAGAUGUCCUUACAGUUGCCUUACAGGGCUAAAGAGAAUUUAAUUUGAUAAUAACAUUUUAUUUUUUAUUUUUUUAUUUAUUUAUUGUCAAGUUGGCUAACAUAUAGUGUAGUCUUGGCUUCAGGAGUAGAUUCCCAUCAUUCAUCACUUACAUACAACACCCAGUGCUCAUCCCAACAGGUGCCCUCCUUAUUGCCCAUCACCCAUUUUUUUUUGUUUAUUUAUUUAUUUUGAGAGAGAGAGAGAGAGAGAAAGAAUGUGAGUGGGGGAGGGGCAGUGAGAGAAAGGGAGAGAGAGAAUCCCAAGCAGACUCCACACUGUCAGUACACAGUCUGAUGUGGGGCUCAAACUCACGAAUUGUGAGAUCGUGACCUGAGCUGAAAUCAAGAGUCAGGUGACUGACUGAGCCACCCAGGCACCGCUGAUAAUAACAUUUUUUUUAAUUAUAUUUUAAUUUACAUCCAAGUUUUUCAGCAUAUAGUACAACAAUGAUUUCAGGAGUAGAUUCCUUAAUGCCCCUUACCCAUUUAGCCCAUCCCCCUCCCACAACCCCUCCAGCAACCCUGUUUUUUCUCCAUAUUUAAGAGUCUCUUAUGUUUUGUCCCCCUCCCUGUUUUUAUAUUAUUUUUGCUUCCCUCCCCUAAUGUUCAUCUGUUUUGUCUCUUGAAGUCCUCAUAUGAGUGAAGUCAUAUGAUUUUUGUCUCUGACUAAUUUCACUUAGCAUAAUACCCUCUAGUUCCAUCUAUGUAGUUGCAAAUGGCAAGAUUUCAUUCUUUUUGAUUGCCGAGUAAUACUUCAUUGUGUGUGUGUGUGUGUGUGUGUGUGUGUGUGUGUGUGUACCACAUCUUCUUUAUCCAUUCAUCCAUCAAUGGACAUUUGGGCUCUUUCCAUACUUUGGCUAUUGUUAAUAGUGCUGCUAUAAACAUUGGGGUGCAUGUGCCCUUCGAAACAGCAUACCUAUAUCCCUUGGAUAAAUACCUACUAGUGCAGUUGCUGGGUCAUAGGGUAGUUCUAUUUUUAAUUUUUUGAGGAGCCUCCGUACUGUUUUCCAGAGUGGUUGCACCAGUUUGCAUUCCCAGUGAAUAACAUUUUUAAAUGUUUACUUAUUUUGAGAGAUAGCAUUCAUGCACACAUGAGCCAGGGGAGGGGCAGAGAGAGAGGUAGAGAAAGGAUCCCAAACAGGGUCUGCAUUGCCAUCGCAGAGCCCGACUUGGGGCUCAAAUCUACGAACCUUGAGACCAUGACCCAAGCCAACAUCAAGAGUCAGACGCCCAACCAAGUGAGUCACCCAGGCACCCCAAAGUCAAACUUUAGAUAACCAAACAGUUGGAGACACAUCAUCAUAGUCUAUACUGUAUCAUAGCUGAUAAUAUUAACAAGAUAAAAAAGGAAUGUGGCAAAAAUGAAAGCAAAAAACAAAGACAGCUUACAUAAUGAUAUAGAGAAAACUAUUCUCUAACUACAAACUCCUAAAAUACAUGGACUAGGAUCCCACCCCAGGCUCAGAAUUGAGAAAAAAAAAUUAUAUCCUCAAAGGCACAGCUUCAUUUUUUGCCCAUUUGAUGCCCUGAGCCACUCAUUAAGAAGUUCAGGCAAUCUUGGAGCACGUUGGUGGCUCAGUCAGUUGAGCAUCCAACUGUGGCUCAGGUCAUGAUCUUACAGUUCAUGAGUUCAAGCCCCACCUUGGGCUUUGUGCUGAUAGCACGGAAUCUGCUUCAGAUUCUCUGUCACCCUCUUUCUGCCCCUCCCCCACUCACGCUCUCUCUCAAAAAUAAAUAAACAUUAAAAAAAAUUUAAAAACAAAAAUGUUCAGGCAAUCUUGCUGGAAAGAAAGACCACAGGAAGAAAAAGUUUCUGAAAGAUGAAACACCACACGGAGAGAAGCCACAUGAAGCCACCAGUCUGCAUCUUAUCCAAACAUAUGAGGAAGGCCUUCCCAGACCUUGUGCCCAGAUCUGCCAACAGCUGAGUUCAACUGCACAAGUGAGUCUAGUUAACAACACAUGAAAGAGAGGUGAGUUGUUCUCACUGAACUCUGUGCAAAUUCCUGACUCACAAAAUGUGAGCAAUAAAAUGGUUGUUGUUUUAAGCCACUACAUUCUGGAGUACUUUGUUAUGCAGCAAUAGAUACCUAAAACACUGAUAUUGAUCAUUUGCAUCUUCCAUUUCUUUUUCUUCAUCUGUCUAGUUAGAGAUUACCAAAUUAUUAUGCUGUGAUCAGAAAACAAACUUUGUCAGAUAUCAAUAUUAUAAAAAUUGCUGAGACUUAUUUUGUCCCCCCCAAAUGUGGUCUAUCUUGGUAAAUGUUCCAUGGUCAGUGAAAAAGAAUGUGUUGUACAGUUGUGGAGCACUGAAUUCUAUCAAUGUCAAUGGGGUUAAGGCAGUUGAUAGUUUUGUUCAGAUCUUCUAUAUCAUUAUUGACUUUUCAUAUAGUUUCACUAUUUAAUUACCAAGAUAGGGGAGUUAAAAUUUCUUACAAUGGAUUUGUGUAUUUCUUUUGUCCUUUAGUAUGGUCAGUUUUUCCUUCACAUAUUUUUAUUUUUAUUUUUUUAUAUGAAAUUUAUUGUCAAAUUGGUUUCCAUACAACACCCAGUGCUCAUCCCAACAGGUGCCCUCCUCAAUACCCAUCACCCACCCUCUCCUUCCUCCCACCCCCCAUCAACCCUCAGUUUAUUCUCAGUUUUUAAGAGUCUCUUAUGGUUUGGCUCCCUCCCUCUCUAACUUUUUUUUUUCCUUCUCCUCCCCCAUGGUCUUCUGUUAAGUUUCUCAGGAUCCACAUAAGAGUGAAAACAUAUGGUAUCUGUCUUUCUCUGUAUGACUUAUUUCACUUAGCAUAACACUGUCCAGUUCCAUCCAUGUUGCAACAAAAGGCCAUAUUUCAUUCUUUCUCAUUGCCAAGUAAUAUUCCAUUGUCCUUUACAAAGUUUUGUUAUUUUGAGCACAUUAACAGUGUUGGUUCUUGUGUCUUCCUGAUGAAAUAAUCAUUUUAUCAUUAUGAAAAAUCCUCUUUGUCUCUGAUAACACCUCUUAAAGUGAAAUUUCUCUUAUAUUAAUAUAGUCACUGAAGCUUUCUCAGCUUACUGUCUGUGUUCUAUAUCUUUCUAUCUUUCUACUUUUAACCGUGGUUUUUUAAAUGUGCUUCCCUUGUAGACAAUAAUUAGUUGGAUCUUCCUAUUUUUAAUUCAAUCUGACAACCUCUACCUCUACCUAUUAAUUGGUGUGUUUAUCCAUUUAUAUUAAUUAUAAUAAUUUAUUUUAUUGAAAUUAAGUCUGUCAUUUUGAUAUUUGUUUCUAAUUUGUUCCAUUAGUUUUGUGUUCCUCUGUUCUUCACUUACUGCCAGUUUUUGGAUUAAUCAAAUGUUUUAGUAUUCCACUUGAAUUCCUCUGUUAGCUUUCAACUGUAUCUUUUUGCUUUAUUGUUUUAGCAAUGUUUUUAGGAAUUAUGGUAUGCAUUCUUAAGUUAUCAAUAUUCCUAGAGUUAAAAUUGUGAUACUUCACAUAAAAUAAAAGAGCCUUUCACCACCACCUGCAAAUCCUUUAUGCUUCAUUGUGUUGUUUGUUACAUCUACAUUCAUUAUAGUUUUUGCUUUAAAUGGUCAUAUGUCCUUUAAAAAAUUAAGAAAUGUGUAUGGUGUCUUCUAUAUUUAUCUAUGUUUACUAUUUUCAGUGCUUUCAUUCCUUCUAAUAAUCUUCAAAUAGCUGCCAGAAAUUCUUUCCAUUACCACCCACAUAUGCAUGUUGCUUCUCCCAAUAAGAUGUACAGUCUAGAGGCGCCUGGGUGGCUCAGUUGGUUAACCAUCUGACUUCAGCUCAGGUCAUGAUCUCAUGGUUCAUGAGUUCGAGCCUCGCAUCAGGUUCUGUGCUGACAUCUCAGAGCCUGGAGCCUGAUUCAGAUUCUGUGUCUUCCUCUCUCUCUGCCCUUGCUCUGCUCAUGCUCUCUCUCAAAAAUAAAUAAACAUAAAAAAAAAAAGACGUAGAGUCUAUUUCUCCUUCCCUUGAAUCUGGGUGUGUCUUUGACUUGCUUUGAUGAACAAAAUAUGCCAAAGACUGAUGCCAUGCCAGUUCUAGAUAUAAACCUUAAGAAGGUUUGCAUCUUCUACUUUUAUCUUCUAGAAAUCCAGCCAGCAUGUAAAUAGGUUUGGUCUAGAUUAUUGAAUAAAAAAAAAAAAAAAAAAAACAUUUGGAAAGAGAGAGGCCUAUCCCAGCCGUUUCAGCUACCACAUCUGAGUCACCAAACAUGUGAAUGAAGCUAUUUUGGAAGCUGACUUCCCAGCUGAAUGCAGCCACAUCGGUGAAGUAGGCCAAUAACACCCAAAUCUGAAGAACCACCCAGUUAAAUCUAGCUAAGGCACAGAAUAGGAAGAAAUAAUAAAUGAUAAUCAUUUUAAACCACUAAAUUCAUUACACAGUAAAGGAAAUUAAAACAUUAUAGAUCUCAAUUUUCAGCAGGUAAGUCAUUGUCUUUAAUCCUGAAGAAAAUUUUUAACAUUGUUUGUGGUAUAGGUCUAUUGGUGUUGAAUUUUCUGUUUUCAUUUACCUGAAAAUGUCUAUUGUGUCUUCUGUUUUAAAGGAUACUUUUUCUGGAUAUGGAAUUCUGAAUUGGCAAUUUUUGUCUUCCCGUUCUUUAAGCCCUUCCAUUGUCUUUUUUUAAGUUUAUUUAUUUAGAGAGCAAGUGAGAAAUUGUGGGGAAGGGGCAGAGAGAAAGAGAGAAAGAAAAUCCCAAGCAGGCUCCAUGAUCAGCUCAGCACCUAAUGUGGGGCUCAAUCUCACAACGGAGAGAUCAUGACCUGAACUGAUAUCAAGAGUUGGAUGCUUAAUCAACUGAGUCACCCAGACGCCCCUCUCUUUAUUUAUUUUAAAGUAAACUCUACCCCCAAUGUGGGGUUUGAACUUAUUACAACCCCAAGAUCAAGAGUUGCAUGCUCUACCAACUGAGCAGCCAAGUGCCCUGUCUUUUGAUCUCUUGUUUCUGAUGAGAACCAGCUAUCAUUUUUACCAUCUUCACUCAUGUGUAAUAUAUCACUUUUCUCUGGCUGCCUUCAAGACUUUUUCUUCCCCGUUUGGUUUGACUAUAAUGUGUCUAAGUAUGGGUUUUGUUUUGUUUUGUAAAUAUUCUACUUGUUAUCCACUGAAUUUCCUAUAUGUGUAAGGUUUUUUCUCCACUAAAUUUGGGUUAUUUUCAGCCAUUAUUGCCUCAAAUAUUUUUUUCAUGCAGUUUUCUCUCUGCUCUCUUUCUGGGAUUCCAGUUGUAUGCAUGUAAGUUCUUUUGAUGUUGAUACAUUACUGAAUCUUUGUUCAUUUUUUUCUUUCUGAUUUUUAAAGCAGAUAUUUCUACUGAUCUAUUUUCAAAUUAACUCUUUGUUGUUUUUUCAGUGUUCAGUCUGCUGAUAAGCCCAUUUAGUGAAUUUUUCUAUUUUAAUUACUGUACUUCUUAGUUCUUGGAGUUUUUUUUUUUAAUAUAUGAAAUUUAUUGUCAAAUUGGUUUCCAUACAACACCCAGUGCUCAUCCCAAAAGGUGCCCUCCUCAAUACCCAUCACCCACCCUCCCCUCCCUCCCACCCCCUGGAGUUUUUCUUAAAAAAAAAAAAAAGUUUCACUUAUAUGCUGACAUCCCUUAUCUCCUCAUUCAUUACAAUGAUGUCUUCAUUUAAGUCCUUGAAAAUAUUUAUGAAUGUUACUUAAUUUUUUUCCUAAUCCCCAAAUCCAGGUCAUCUCACAGAAAUUUUUUAUAGACUACGUUUUCUCUUAUGGUUCACAUUUUCCUAAAUCUUUGUAUGUUUGAUAAUAAUUGUAUGUUAGAUAAUACAUUAUAGGGAGUCUGGCUAAUCCUGUCUUCCUUUAAAGAAUAUUACAUCUAUGUAUCAUGCAAAUUAAUCAUUGAUUGGUCCUUUUGGUUAUGUUAGCUUUGGUCUUGUUAUUUUCAUCAUGUGUUUAUUUUGGUUUUAUACUUGGCCCUAGCAUGUCCUUCUUACUUUUUUUUUUUUUUUUUUGCAUGGUUCUUUCUCUUAAGGCUUGAUUCUGGAUUCUCAAUUAUGUGCCUAAAGUAUUAGAGAAGUUGCUGCUCUUGGGCUGGGCUGCAAAUCCAAUGUCUCAGCACUACAUGACUUUUAGGAUCGCUCUUCAGCCUUCCUCUUGCAACAGGCAAACUUGCCUGGCACAUUUGUGUCCCUCCACCCCCACAUAUGUGCACACAUGCACACACACAUACACACCGACACUACAGCAGCUCAGGUAUUCUAACCCACAAAAUUCCAGCCACUUCAAUAACUUUGACCCCUGAUAAUUUUCUCCUCAUCUCAGGAAGGCCACUACUUUACUUGAACUUCACCUCCCUAAUUAUGGAGCUUACCUUGUGUGCUUUGUUCUCAAGUAUGACAGUCACAUGCUGCUUGUUUAUCAGUGCAUGAAGAUUGUUCUAAGAUUGUUAGAACAAUCUAAGGUGAAGAUUGUCUUACGUAGUUUGUCUAGUUUUAUGCUUUUUUGUGGCAGAAAGACAAGUGCAGUACCUGUUACUCUAUUACAGUUCAAAGUAGAAGUACUAUAUUCCUUUUAUCCUUGUCCAUCAUAGUGAUAGAGACAUUCACUCAUGUCAGACUGCUUAGAAACUUUCGAAUAUCUCACAGAUUCAACAAAUAUUUCAUUGUCCAUGGAGUCCAAAAUCGACUUAAAAAGUACAUUUAAAAAUAGGUCUCUGAAGGGGCGCCUGGGUGGCUCAGUCAGUUGAGUGUCCGGCUUCAGCUCAGGUCAUGAUCUCAUGGUUCGUGAGUUCAAGCCCCACAUCGGGCUCUGUGCUGACAGCUCAGAGCCUAGAGCCUGUUUCAGAUUCUGUGUCUCCCUCUCUCUCUGCCCCUCCCCCACUCAUUCUCAUUCUCUCUCUCUUUCAAAAAUAAUAAACACUAAAAAAAUUAAAACAAAAUAGGUCUCUGAAAAAUGAACUGGCCAAAAUUUGCAAGGUAACCAUACUGAACUAAUCAUAAUUUUUACUCAUAGCUUUAUGAGUAUAACAUCUAUAAUCAGCAAAAAUAAUAAAACUUAAUGGAUAGACUUAUAAAAUGUUCUACUACAAUCCAAUAGACAGCCUUUUAUGAUACUUUCAUAUGUUAGAUGAUAGCUGUGAAAUUAUUACACAAUAUUAAUGAACAACUCAACUCAUGGACUCACAGUUUUCAAUAAUGUUGAAAAACUGUAUAAAUAUCUGUAGUCCCAAAAUUUGAUCCACCUCAAAAUUCUCUAGAAAAGACAUUUCUUUUUUUUUUUUAAACAUUUAUUUAUUUUUGAGACAGAGAGAGACAGAGCAUGAACGGGGGAGGGUCAGAGAGAGGGAGACACAGAAUCUGAAACAGGCUCCAGGCUCUGAGCUGUCAACACAGAGCCCGAUGCGGGGCUCGAACUCACGGACCGCGAGAUCAUGACCUGAGCUGAAGUCGGGCACUUAACUGACUGAGCCACCCAGGCGCCCCUAGAAAAGACAUUUCUUAAAUCUGGGCACAAUGAACUUCACCAGGAUUCUCCACCUCUGACAUGACACAUGAAGCUUUCUAGUCCUAAAUGCACACUUUUACAAGGAGGAGACAUUGGUCCCAGAAAAUCACAGUUCCUUGAUCUUAUUUCAUAAACCCAUCCUAGCCAUAAGAAAGAAAAAUUAUUUGUGCAUAUUUUCUCUUGACUUUUAACUUAUAAUCUACAGCAGUGGUCAGCAACUUUUUCUGUAAAAAGAUAAUGAAUAUUUUAGACUUUUCAGUUGAUACAGUUUCUGUCACCACUAUUCCACUCUCCUGUUGCAGCACAAAAGCAGCCACAGAUAAAUGUAAAUGAAUGAGAAUGUCUGUGUUCUGAAUAAAACCUUAUUCACAAAAGCAGGUGGCAGACUGGAUUUGGCCUGUGGGCCACAGUUUGCCAACAGUUGUACCAGAGUACUAAUUCAUGUUUAGUCUCACCAAAGAGGUUUGGUUGGGAUGUAUACAUAUAUACACACAUAGAAUUUUAAUUUUUUAAGUUUAUUAUUUAUUUUGAGAGUAAGAGACAGAGUGUGAGAAGGGAAGGGGCAGAGAGAGAAAAUCCCAAGCAGGCUCCACACUGUCAGCACAGAGCCCAACAUGGGGCUCAAUUCCACCAAGCGUGAGAUCAUGACCUGAGCUGAAAUCAAGAGUUAGGCGUGUAACCAACUGAGCCACCCAGGUGUCCCACACAUAUAAUUUUAAAAACACAUAUCCACCCUAGUGAUGAUUGUUGCAUCCAAACAGAGAUCUACUAAAACAUAAUUACUGAUAUCAUCAUACGUCUCAGUCCUUAUGAUAGUCACUGACUGUAUAUUGCUUCACUUGAAUCCUCUAACAUACAGUUAGUAGAUGUUAACGCUAAGAAGUAAUUUUAUGUUCCAUUGUGGAGAAACCUGAUUAUAUUAGGGUAAAUGAGAUCAGCCAUCAUGAAAAUGAUACGUAUUUAUCAUAAUUACUAUCCUAAUAAUUCCACAUACUGCAUCUCUACCUAUAUUCCCUUACAUUUUAAUAAAGAAAUGCAUUCUUUCAUUAAGAAAAAAAACCCUCUACAUUCAUUCCAAAUAAUUCAAAAUGUGACUAUUAACAAUACAAUUUAUUCAGAUCUAAAUUUAAGAGAAGACAGUGUGGAAGAGGGAACAAAUGUGAGAAAGCGGAAGUAGAACAAUAUAUGACCAUUCUUGGAGGAAGAAAACUACAAAUUCAGAAGUGUGAGAUAUCUAGUAAGGUGGUUUUAACUUUAAUGACAAAAACAAACCAAAAAACCUGUAAAGCAAAAUCAUUGGAAUGUACAGGGACUCUUUUUGUUUUUUUAGGUUGAUAUUAUAAUCUUUUUCUUUUAGCUGAUAAGAGAAACCACAAAACACGGGAUAUAGAAUAUUUACAAAUAUGGGCGUAUUUUUUAAAGAUUUUAUUUUUAAGUAAUUUCUAUACCCAACAUGAGGCUCAAACUCACAACCUCAAGGUCAAGAGUUGUAUGUUUCACCUACCGAGCCAGCUAGGUGCUCCAAACAUGGGUGCUUUUUACCCAUCAGAUUUUAACAAAAGUCUCAAGCAGUGUAUCCCAAGUAGGAGGGUGGUACCAUUCUUACAAAGGGGAAUUUGGGAAUGCAUGGGGGCAAUUUUAUUCUGUUGCUGUGAUGAAGAUGAUACUAACAUUUCAUGGCCAGGGCCAGAGUUGUUGUAUACCCUGCAACUGGUUGGACUGUCCCACCCAAAAUGCCAAUACACCUCUAAUAAUUAAUAACUUAUAUUAUAAAUAAUUAAAUAAUUAUAUUAAAUUAUUAAAUAAUUAAUAAAUUAUUAAAUUAUUAAAUAAUUAUAACUUAAUGAUGGCCAUAGCUCAUGCUUUUUACUAAAGAUUUCAGAUUCCUCCGAAGAGGCAAUGAAAUUUUUAGAUAUUCCAACAAAAAUCUCAACCUCUAAUUGCAAACAAACAAAAUUAUUGGGGGGUUUGAAAUAACUACCACUGUUCUUUCUCUUUCUGCAGAAAUUCCAAAAGAGCUUAGCCAAAAAUAUUUUAUAUCGUGUAACAGAUUUUUAAGGUUUGCUUUUCUUUAAGUGUGUGCAGAUAAUGUAUAAAUAUAUGGUAUGGAUCUGGUGUUAAUUUUUAAUCCCUGCUUUCUAGAGCUGUGCUCUUUUUAAAUGUACCUACUCUGAAUUGAGAUGUGCCAUAAGUAUAAAAUAUACACCAGACUUCAAAGGUUUAAUAUGAAGUGAAAAAUGUAAAAUGUCUGGGGCACCUGGGUGGCUCAGUUGGUUAAACUUCCAACUCUUGAUUUCUACCCAGGUCAUGAUCUCACCAUCAUGAGAUCAAGCCCCAUGUCAGGCUCCAUGCUUAGCAUGUGGAGCCUGCUUAAGAUUCUCUCUCUCCCUCUCCCUUUGCCCCUCUGCUCCUUGCACACACAUACACACACUCUCUCUCAAAAUAAACAAAUAAAUAAAUGUAAAAUAUCUCAUUAAUAAUUUUUAUAUUGGUUACACAUUAAAACGAUAAUAUUUUGGAUAUACUGGUUUAAAUAAAAUGUAUUAUUAAAGCAUAUUUCAUCUGUUUUGCUUUGCCUUUCUAAUGUGACUUGUACAAAUUUUAAAUUAUAUUUGUAGCUGGCAUCAUAUUGCUAUUAGACAACAUAUUCUAGAGAAUUCACAAGAAACAAGGGAACUAUCAGAUUAUGUUCAGAUUUUCUAUUUAAUCAUUCUGGUUUAAUAUCAUCCUUUCCUCCUCUUAUAUAUUCCAUUCCAUUUCAUAUUCCAUGUAGAUUUAAAUGGAAUGAGCUUUCAUACCUGCAGGGAACUCCUACACUUUCUAUAUGCAAUUGUUUGGUGUUCACACUUGAAUAGUCUUCAUAAUGGUAUUCGUGUUCCUGUUCCUAACUUUGUACUGCAUGUAUUCAUUAAAAUGCUGAAGAUUCAGGAGAUUUGCUUUGUCCUGAGGUGUUAUCUGUAACAGGUCUGCUGUGACUGCAUGUUACCCUGAAGAAUAGAUUUUCUCCCUCUCAGUUUUUAAAGUCUCCUCCAGGAGGCGCUUUUGAACUGCCAAGCACACCUUGUGGGGGAUGUUACCUGCCCUCCUGAUUUUUAAUAAGGAAAGUUUCUAGGGAAGGUAGUAUCAAAAAAGGUCUCCUUUGUGACAGUCACUGAUUUACUGAGAAUCUUAACCAUCCCUGAUUAACCAUCCCUGUUGGCUAAGAGCUGUUUAAUUACUUAAGCAACAUAAUCAGCCUGUUAAUAUAUUAUCUCAUUUGCUUCUUAAAGAAACACUUGGUUUUAACAGUAGCCCCAGUUUUAUUGAUGAAGAAUCUAAGACUCAGAAAAAUUGAUGGCUUGCCUAGAGUCAUGCGAUUGGACUUCUCAUACCUAGUUUAGUACUUCUGAUUACAUUAUUCGCCUCUGCUGUUGUCUUCAGUAAGGAAGUAAUUCAUAUCUGAAAACUGUAAAUGGAGGAAGCCAAACAGUCUACACUGUGGAUAUUGGGUUGUAUAGGCCCCACCCUGGAAUCUGUUCUGCAUUUGUUUCAAAGCAUCAAAUAUUUGACUUCUGUGAAAAUAGUGCCAAAGUAAAUUAGGUGGAACCGGACACAGGAACUUAUAUGUCUGUAUAUUAGUGGCAAUUUCAGAUGUUUGAGUUUCUCUCUUUGUGCAAUAGAAAUUGGGAUAAUAUUUGUCAGGACUAGACAAAUAGCACAUGCUGAUAGGUAUUCUUGCCUUGUAUAUGACUCACUCUCAGUACAACAUACCCUUUGACAUGACUUUGACAUGGCUUUUGAUUGUGGCGAAGAAUUUAACCCUAUUGGCCAUGCCCAGCACAGAACUCCAUUCUCCGUGGCUUUCAGAACAAGAUAUUUGCUUUAAUUCCACUUCAGUCAUAUGAUCACUUAAAGUCUGAUAGCUUUCUGCUUUUUACUCUAUUAAGUCUAAGUUUUGUGCUUGAUUUUCAAGGACUUGUGUAAUCUGACCUACUCUGGCCACCAAAUUUAUCUUCCACUACUCUUCACUAGGAUCAUUUCACUCUGGUAACAUUAGAUCCCCUUACUGUCCUUUAAACAUUCUGCCUCUUUUCUCUUAUGUUGCUUUCUUCACUUGCCUUUUCCUUUCUUUUUAAAAUCUAAAUCCCACCUAUUCACCAAGACCUAAGUCAAGUUCCACCACUAUCAUUUAUUCUCCUCCUUCAUUGAACUCUUUAGUGCUUAGAAUUUGUACCUGUUUUGAAUGUGAAACUGUGUUUUCAUGUUAGCACUUACUGUGUGGCAGGGUUGUGUCUGCUUCCCAUCCCUCCCCCCCAACUUGUUACAAAGAGAGAUGAUUAUUAUUAACAAGAGAGAUUUGUUUAUCUUUUAGGAGUUUCCACUCUGAAGAAUAUAAUAGGAUCCAGAGUCCUCCCCCACCCUUGAGAAUUAGAGCCAAGGUUGGGCCUCCUUGGGCACAGCCGUAACAGGUGGACCCAUCUCCUAGACGCUGGCUACAAAGGAUGACACUGGACACAAAAGAAGUCAGAACUCUGGGAAGAGAGAAGAUCUCAGGAUGCCUAGCAAGAAAUGAUACUGUGCAGGCUGAUCUGAC
rnacentral:lncRNA from 1 species